AGAAGAAACAGGUUAAAGAAUUAGAUGUGGUCCUCACAGGGAAUAUUUGCCCCUGGCCGCAGAUACAAAGGAUGCAUUUCAAGCUCUCCCAAGAACUCUUGCAGUGCUCCAUCCCUGUGUCCUCAGAAAUGGCCCUGAGUCUCAGCAGCUCAAAAAGACUCCAGUUGGAUAGUGAGAAGCCACUGCUUCCUUGCAAGAACCUUCCCAAAUUUCUCUAAUUUCUGGGAGAAUAACAAAAAGAAGGAAGAUUCAGUAGGAAAGGAAAGCAAUGAAGAAGCCAAGAAAGAGACAAGGAACCCUGGAAAGAGAGUCAGCAAAGAGAGAAAUAGAAACAUUAAUUUCAGAGGAGUUGGAAGUGUUGUGAACUAUUAAUCCUUUAGCUUUGCUUUGGACUUGACAGCAAAAGUAGCUGCAUGCAGAAGUAAAAUUGUUAAGAAUGUCACAUAAAAUGUGAGGGUGAGCUCAGCAUGAAGGAACAGCCUCUUCCAUUGGUGAGGUGAAGAAACUGAAGACUUUAGCCAGAGCCAAGUGGCUAAUUCAGAGUUUAAUACACAUUUGACCUCAAACCCUUUGUGGUCACCUUUGAACAGUGCCUCCCUCUCUGAAAUAAAAUACUGGUUCUGUCAUUAAUUAUUAA
rnacentral:lncRNA from 1 species